AGUGAACGCUGGCGGUAGGCCUAACACAUGCAAGUCGAACGGCAGCACAGUAAGAGCUUGCUCUUACGGGUGGCGAGUGGCGGACGGGUGAGGAAUACAUCGGAAUCUACUUUUUCGUGGGGGAUAACGUAGGGAAACUUACGCUAAUACCGCAUACGACCUACGGGUGAAAGCAGGGGAUCUUCGGACCUUGCGCGAUUGAAUGAGCCGAUGUCGGAUUAGCUAGUUGGCGGGGUAAAGGCCCACCAAGGCGACGAUCCGUAGCUGGUCUGAGAGGAUGGACGGGCGCAACAGGAAUUGAGACACGGCCCAGACUCCCCCGGGAGGCACAAGGGGGGAAGUUUGAAAAAUGGGCGGAUUCCUGAUCCCGCUAUACGGGGUGGGUGAAGAAGGCCUUCUGGUUGCAAAGCCCUUUUGUGGGAAAAAAAAAUAAGCAGGUUAAAACCCCGCUUUUCUGGCGGUCCCCAAAGAAUAAGCACCGGCUACCUUCGU
rnacentral:rRNA from 1 species